rnacentral:rRNA from 1 species
UACGUAGGGUGCGAGCGUGUCCGGAAUUAUUGGGCGUAAAGAGCUUGUAGGCGGUUUGUCGCGUCUGCCGUGAAAAUCCGGGGCUCAACCCCGGACUGCGGUGGGGUACGGGCAGACUAGAGUGUGGUAGGGGAGACUGGAAUUCCUGGUGUAGCGGUGAAAUGCGCAGAUAUCAGGAGGAACACCGGUGGCGAAGGCGGGUCUCUGGGCCGUAACUGACGCUGAGGAGCGAAAGCAUGGGGAGCGAACAGG